CUGCAGCUGAAUACAUAGGCUGUUUGAAGACAACCCAGGGAACUGUAACAUCUAAGUACCUGGUGGAAGAGAAAGCAAUAGCGAUUUCCUUAGUAGUGGCGAGCGAAAAGGAAAUAGCCUAAACCGUCUAAUGUGUUAAAGGAAGCAACCCUUGCAUUAGCGGUGUCGCGGGGCAUAUUUUGGCUGAAUUGCUGAUAAGCUGGAGAGUAAAAAAUUAUAUUAUUAGCUGAAUAUUCUGGAAAGCUCAACCAUAGAAGGUGAUAGUCCUGUAAGCGAAAAUAAUAUAACUCUCUUAAAUAUGUUUCCAAGUACCACGGAGUAAGUGGAAUUCUGUGGGAAUCCGGGAGAACCAUCUCCUAAGGCUAAAUACUCUCUCGUAACCGAUAGUGAACCAGUACCGUGAGGGAAAGGUGAAAAGCACUCCUAUUAGGAGGGUGAAAUAGUACCUGAAACCGUAUGCUUACAAACGGUCGGAGUCCCGAUUUAUCGGGAUGACGGCGUGCCUUCUGGAUAAUGAGCCUACGAGUUACUCGUACGUUGCAAGGUUAAAUUCCUAAGGAAUGAAGCCGAAGCGAAAGCGAGUCCUAAUCGGGCGCUUGCCCGCCUUAGGCGGGUAAAAGUAACGUGCGGUAGACGCGAAACCGGGUGAUCUACCCUUGUCCAGGAUGAAGUGAGGGUAAAACCUCAUGGAGGUCCGAACUAAUGUGGGUUGAAAACCGCUUGGAUGAGGUAAGGGUAGGGGUGAAAGGCCAACCAAACUCGGAAAUAGCUCGUAUUCCUCGAAAUAGCUUUAGGGCUAGCCUCGAGUAAAAGUGUGCGGGAGGUAGAGCACUGAUUGGGCUAGGGCUGUCACAACGGUACCAAACCCAGACAAACUCCGAAUUCCUGUCACAUGUUUCUCGGGAGUCAGGCAGUGAGGGAUAAGCUUCAUUGCCAAAAGGGAAACAACCCAGAUCAUCAACUAAGGUCCCAAAAUGGUAGUUAACAGAGAAAGGAUGUUCAGUUGCCCAGACAACUAGGAUGUUGGCUUAGAAGCAGCCAUUCAUUUAAAGAGUGCGUAAUAGCUCACUAGUCAAGCGACCGGGCGUCGACAAUUCCCGGGACUAAAACUACCUACCGAAGUUAUGGGCUCCGAUUUAUCGGAGCGGUAGAGGAACAUUCUAUUUGCAUUGAAUGUGUGGUGCGAGCCAUGCUGGAGCGGAUAGAAAAGCAAAUGUAGGCAUAAGUAACGAUAAGACCGAUGAAAAAUCGGUCCACCGAAAAUCUAAGGUUUCCUGAGCAAUGUUAGUCAUCUCAGGGUUAGUCGGAUCCUAAGCCGAGGCUGAAAGGCGUAGGCGAUGGUAAACAGGUUAAUAUUCCUGUACCUGGUAAAUUUCGUUUGAAUGUAAGGAGAGACGCAGGAGUGAAAGGUCAGCCGCCUGAUGGAUUAGGCGGUCUAAGCAUGUAGGCUGAAAGUGGAGGCAAAUCCCCACUUUCGUAAACCGAGAUGCGAACGGGAGAGCUUAGCUCACAAACUGACCGUAAUCAUACUGCCGAGAAAAACUUCGUACAUGAGAAAUUUAUCGGUCCGUACCGUAAACCGACA
rnacentral:rRNA from 1 species